rnacentral:piRNA from 1 species
UACUAAAUUCUACUGUGGUCAUUGACUGU